rnacentral:lncRNA from 1 species
CUUAGUUUUUUGAUCAGUUUUAUUUGUUUUAUUUAUGAUUCUUUCUCAGUUUUCAUCAUUAUUAAGUUUUUUUCAACACAUGUCCAAUUUUUUUCCAAUACAAAGUGUACAUUUUCAAUAUACAUUUUCUGGAUCCACGUUGUACAUUUCUCAAACCAUGGAUGAAGACUUUUUUGAAUACAUGGAAACCAUGUUGAACAUUUUUUAAUGGUAAUAAACGUCUUUCGCAAACUGCACGAACGUUGUCCGAAUACACGAUUAAUAUUUUUCAAUUAUGCAUCCAAAGUUAUUUCUGGAUAUAUUUAGAAUAUUUAAUAAUAACACAAGCAAAAGAAAAGAAAAGGUAAAUCAAAAAACAAAAGCUAAAAUGUGGGGGAAAAGAAGGAAGAGAAAAAGCGCAAAAGCCCGUGGGGCCUGCUGGGCGGCCCCUUCUGAGCGGCGAGGCUGCUUGCGCGUCCUUUGCUGGUGGAGGACGAGAUCUCGGCAUGCAGUGCUAUCUUUACUUUCGAUGCAGAAUGCAGAGCGACUCUCCCCGAGAGCCUCUAGCCUGGACUGAACUGGGGAAAUCGGGCAUUGCUCGCACUGCUGCGUUCGUGAAAGAUCACCUCCGUCAGUCAGACAG